rfam:Drosophila sechellia strain Rob3c scaffold_700 genomic scaffold, whole genome shotgun sequence.
CUGAAUAUCCGUUAUGGAAAAUUCAUCAUUAAAAUUGUAAUAUUUAAAUAAUAUUAUUAAGAAUAAUGUGCAUUUUUUCCAUAUAAGGACAUUGUAAUCUAUUAGCAUAUCCCAAAUUUAUCAUAAAAUAUAACUUAUAGUUUAUUCCAAUUAAAUUGCUUGCAUUUUAACACAGAAUAAAUGUUAUUAAUUUGAUAAAGUGCUGAUAGAUUUAUAUUAUUACAGAGCGUUAAUUUUUCGGAAUUAUAUAAUGGCAUAAUUAUCAUUGAUUUUUGUGUUUAUUAUAUGCUCUUGUAUGAUUAACAAUGCGAAAGAUUCAGGAUACCUUCGGGACCCGUCUUGAAACACGGACCAAGGAGUCUAACAUAUGUGCAAGUUAUUGGGAUGUAAACCUAAUAGCGUAAUUAACUUGACUAAUAAUGGGAUUAGUUUUUUAGCUAUUUAUAGCUAAUUAACACAAUCCCGGGGCGUUCUAUAUAGUUAUGUAUAAUGUAUAUUUAUAUUAUUUAUGCCUCUAACUGGAACGUACCUUGAGCAUAUAUGCUGUGACCCGAAAGAUGGUGAACUAUACUUGAUCAGGUUGAAGUCAGGGGAAACCCUGAUGGAAGACCGAAACAGUUCUGACGUGCAAAUCGAUUGUCAGAAUUGAGUAUAGGGGCGAAAGACCAAUCGAACCAUCUAGUAGCUGGUUCCUUCCGAAGUUUCCCUCAGGAUAGCUGGUGCAUUUUAAUAUUAUAUAAAAUAAUCUUAUCUGGUAAAGCGAAUGAUUAGAGGCCUUAGGGUCGAAACGAUCUUAACCUAUUCUCAAACUUUAAAUGGGUAAGAACCUUAACUUUCUUGAUAUGAAGUUCAAGGUUAUGAUAUAAUGUGCCCAGUGGGCCACUUUUGGUAAGCAGAACUGGCGCUGUGGGAUGAACCAAACGUAAUGUUACGGUGCCCAAAUUAACAACUCAUGCAGAUACCAUGAAAGGCGUUGGUUGCUUAAAACAGCAGGACGGUGAUCAUGGAAGUCGAAAUCCGCUAAGGAGUGUGUAACAACUCACCUGCCGAAGCAACUAGCCCUUAAAAUGGAUGGCGCUUAAGUUGUAUACCUAUACAUUACCGCUAAAGUAGAUGAUUUAUAUUACUUGUGAUAUAAAUUUUGAAACUUUAGUGAGUAGGAAGGUACAAUGGUAUGCGUAGAAGUGUUUGGCGUAAGCCUGCAUGGAGCUGCCAUUGGUACAGAUCUUGGUGGUAGUAGCAAAUAAUCGAAUGAGACCUUGGAGGACUGAAGUGGAGAAGGGUUUCGUGUGAACAGUGGUUGAUCACGAGUUAGUCGGUCCUAAGUUCAAGGCGAAAGCCGAAAAUUUUCAAGUAAAACAAAAAUGCCUAACUAUAUAAACAAAGCGAAUAUAAUACACUUGAAUAAUUUUGAACGAAAGGGAAUACGGUUCCAAUUCCGUAACCUGUUGAGUAUCCGUUUGUUAUUAAAUAUGGGCCUCGUGCUCAUCCUGGCAACAGGAACGACCAUAAAGAAGCCGUCGAGAGAUAUCGGAAGAGUUUUCUUUUCUGUUUUAUAGCCGUACUACCAUGGAAGUCUUUCGCAGAGAGAUAUGGUAGAUGGGCUAGAAGAGCAUGACAUAUACUGUUGUGUCGAUAUUUUCUCCUCGGACCUUGAAAAUUUAUGGUGGGGACACGCAAACUUCUCAACAGGCCGUACCAAUAUCCGCAGCUGGUCUCCAAGGUGAAGAGUCUCUAGUCGAUAGAAUAAUGUAGGUAAGGGAAGUCGGCAAAUUAGAUCCGUAACUUCGGGAUAAGGAUUGGCUCUGAAGAUUGAGAUAGUCGGGCUUGAUUGGGAAACAAUAACAUGGUUUAUGUGCUCGUUCUGGGUAAAUAGAGUUUCUAGCAUUUAUGUUAGUUACUUGUUCCCCGGAUAGUUUAGUUACGUAGCCAAUUGUGGAACUUUCUUGCUAAAAUUUUUAAGAAUACUAUUUGGGUUAAACCAAUUAGUUCUUAUCAAUUAUAACGAUUAUCAAUUAACAAUCAAUUCAGAACUGGCACGGACUUGGGGAAUCCGACUGUCUAAUUAAAACAAAGCAUUGUGAUGGCCCUAGCGGGUGUUGACACAAUGUGAUUUCUGCCCAGUGCUCUGAAUGUCAAAGUGAAGAAAUUCAAGUAAGCGCGGGUCAACGGCGGGAGUAACUAUGACUCUUAGGGGAUCAGGGGUAAUUGCGAGCAGAGGGGGAGUAUUUUUCUGUAAUUCGUAAGUCAUAUCAUAUGGUGUGCGGAAGGGGAAUUUUACUCUGUAACUCACAAGUCUCUCCUUUACUCAAGUCGACUCAAAACCUCCUCGUGGUGGUCCCCGGU